GCCAAGUGCUGAGUUUAAGCUCUGAUCCGUGAAGUCAAAAGCAUCAGUUAACAAGAUGGCAUCCUUCCUGUGAGAGAAAACAAGAGUUUGUACUGUGGGAUCAUACCAAUGCUUUUACAAACUGCUUCUUUUUUUCCUCUUAACGCUAAAAGGACUCAUGAUCCUGACAAAGAAGAAGAGAAAAUACAACAGUUGGACCCAAACGUGGAACGAACACUCUGCUUUUGUGACUCGGGAACUCCGAGAGGGCCCACAUGGCACUCUGCAGAAGCAUCGGGAAGCACACAGAAUAACUUGGGCCAUCUGUUUUCUCCUGGAAACAAGCGGUGGGCUGGAUUCUCUGAGGAAUUCUCAUGGCAUGUUUGGACCAGAACAGUCUGCUCAGAAAAGAGAGAAGGUCCCUGCCUGGGGCUCUGAGGUGUUGGAGGUGGGACCAGGCUACCUCCCCAAGCAGUGAAGCCUGGCUGCUGGGAAGAAGGCAGAACCCAGAACGUUGCUGCCGUCCUGCAGCCAGGGAUCGCUGCGUAGAGCCCAGCUGUGGCCCUACCUGCCCAGCAUCCACACCCCAGUCCUCUGGCUCUCUUGGGAAAACUGUCCUGUAGUCUCAGACCAGGUGGUUCUUGGGACUCACCUCAGUCUCCCAGGCCUGGACAAAUAGAGCAUCCUGUCCUCUAGUCACAGUGAUUGAGCCUGGUGUGGUCAUGUGACCCAGGCCAGCCGAUGAAACUCAGUCUUGGGCCUUUUGCAGGGAUAAUUUGGGUGGGAGAAAGCUGUCUUCCCAGUGGGGUGCCAGCCUGGGCUAAUAUGCCGGCCAACCAGUGGCCUCCCUCCUUUACAUGAAGCAGCCCAUUCUCAUGUCCCAAAAACUGAAUCUAACAGAGGAGAACAGAGCUAAAGAUGGUAUGAAAGGGACCCUUGAUGACGUGGUUUGAACCCCUGGAUCCAGCUGGUCCUGAAGCCCGCUGUCUCUGGCCUUUUGUAUAUAUGAACCACUGAGUUCCUUGUUUUGCCUAAGUGAGUUGGAGUUUGGUUCAGAAACCUGACUAAAACAUCUGUGUCUGGCUUCUUUAGUAGGAUAAACUUACUGUCCCCAGGGCCUUUACUACCUGGCUUGGAUAAUGGGUACACAGUAUUUCUCUUGAACCUAAGUAGAAGUCUUGGCACCUGCUGCAUCUGAACUUUGGUGCCUAGAUCUUGACUUUGAACCCUCCCCAGAGGCAUCCCCCUUUAUAGGAAGCCCAGCAGUCUGGGUAUCACACAGACCUGAGUUCAAAUCCUGACUCUACCACCAGUUAGCUGGGUAAUGCUGUCUGAGCCUCAGUUUCCUCAUCAGUUAUAGUCCCACCUCUGGGAGUGUUGGGGGAUUGAAUGAGAUGAAGCCACAAAGCAUCUCACAAGGUGCUGGCAGAUGGAGAUGCUGCUGGGACUAUUGUUAUUUGUGACUCAUCCACCCAGAGUAAAAGGAAGCCAGUGGAAGGUAUGGGCUGCUUUCAGGGCCUGCCCUCGCAGCUUCUGACUUUGUGAAUGAAUGCAUGAGUGAAUGGAAAGAAAAAAAAAAA